rnacentral:rRNA from 1 species
GACCGUGAGAUGGGUGAUUCGGGCCACACUGGGACUGAGACCCACGGCUCCAGACUCCUACGGGAGNGCAGCAGUAGGUGAAUCUUCCGCAAUGGACGUAAAGUCUGACGAAGCAACGCCGCGUGAGUGAUGAAGGUUUUUCGGAUCGUAAAGCUCUGGUGGUAGGGAAGAACAAGUACCGUUCGAAUAGGGCCGUACCUUGACGGUACCUAACCAGAAAGCCACGGCUAACUACGUGCCAGCAGCCGCGGUAAUACGUAGGUGGCAAGCGUUGUCCGGAAUUAUUGGGCGUAAAGGGCUCGCAGGCGGUUUCUUAAGUCUGAUGUGAAAGCCCCCNGGCUCAACCGGGGAGGGUCAUUGGAAACUGGGGAACUUGAGUGCAGAAGAGGAGAGUGGAAUUCCACGUGUAGCGGUGAAAUGCGUAGAGAUGUGGAGGAACACCAGUGGCGAAGGCGACUCUCUGGUCUGUAACUGACGCUGAGGAGCGAAAGCGUGGGGAGCGAACAGGAUUAGAUACCCUGGUAGUCCACGCCGUAAACGAUGAGUGCUAAGUGUUAGGGGGUUUCCGCCCCCUUAGUGCUGCAGCUAACGCAUUAAGCACUCCGCCUGGGGGAGUACGGUCGCAAGACUGAAACUCAAAGGAAUUGAAGGGGGCCCGGCACAAGCCGGUGGAGCAUGUGGUUUAAUUCGAAGCAACGCGAAGAACCUUACCAGGUCUGGACAUCCUCUGACAAUCCUAGAGAUAGGACGGCCCCUUCCGGGGCAGAGAUGACAGGUGGUAGCAUGGUUGUCGUCAGCUCGUGUCGUGAGAAGAUGNGGUUAANGUCAAAACCUAGCAACGACCCGCAUGACCCUUGAUCUUNUCAUGNUUGCCAGCAUNUGCUAGNGUAGCGAUACUCGANCGAGGUGGAC